rnacentral:snoRNA from 1 species
ACCAUUGAUGAUAUAAUCCAAAUAAAUGAGAUGCAAUGGAUCUGAGUCCCUGUCUAACAGGGGGAACCUCUCGGUGAAAUUACACUCGUAUGAUAUUCCUGGAUUUACUGAGGU